rnacentral:rRNA from 1 species
GACGAACGCUGGCGGCGUGCUUAACACAUGCAAGUGGUGCGACGAACCAGGCUUCGGCUUGGGGCGAAGCCGCGAACGGGUGAGUAACACGUGGGCAACCUGCCCCGUCGAUCGGGACAACCCGGGGAAACCCGGGCUAAUACCGAAUGUGGUGCCGGCUCAUGAGAGCCGGCACGAAAGGAAGCUUCGGCCUCCGCGACGGGAUGGGCCCGCGGCCCAUUAGCUUGUUGGUGGGGUAACGGCCUACCAA